CAUCCUCCUCCGCCGCCCCCCCCCCGCCCGCCGUCCGCCGGCCCCCGCCUCACACGUUCGGUGACACCGCUCUCCGCGCUCCCUCCCACCGGCCGCGGCUCCUCCCUCUCCCUCCUCCCCGCUCCGCCGCCCGGUCGGAGCUACCCCUACGUUCUCCUCGCCGCCCCCGCCAUCUUGGCGCCCCCCCACAUAAAUAGAGCAGCCCCGCAGCCCGCGCAGGCGCAGCCGGGCCCGCGUCGCUGCUGUUAUUGCUCAGCUUCCCCCGGACGUCAGCGCGGCCGCCGCCGCCCACACGCCGCGGGCGCCGGGCCCGCCCCCGGUUGCCGGGGCGAUGCGCACGCCGGGCCCGCCGCCGCCGCCUGCAGCCGCGGGGGCCGCGCAGCGCUCGUCCUCCUGGGGCCGCGGGGGCAGGCUGCGGGGGCCGCGGGCCUGCUGAGGGGAAGAUCUGCUGAGGUCCCUAGAAGUCGGCGGCUGCGGGUCAGUCACCAGAGAAAAGCCACCCGUGCGGGGAGAGGCCGUUCCCAGCCUGAACGGCGCGGACGCAGCGUGUCUCGGUAGCACCUAGCCCACGCUGAAUGGAACAGCACAGGAUAUCGGGGUUUUACAAAACCGUGCCGUAUGGCGAGGUUGAUCGCAGCUUGUUUCUACAGAAGAGCAGCCGCUGCCCAGGGUGCCGGCCUGCCCUCGGCGGCGCGGAGCUUGUUCAGCGGCCAUGCCUGGUCUGUAGCGAGCAGUUGUGGCUUGUUGGGAAAGAGCUGCUCGAGAGAGAGAGAGAGGAGACGACGCGAGGAAGGCAGGGUUUGAGCAGCAGCGAGACUUCCCUCAUGAGCGGGAGCUGCCUGCAAAUACUGCAAGUGUUUCAGUCUGUCACCACCCACUUUGACAGACUGAUGGCUGGUAUUUCCAGAUGGAGCUAUGCCACCAAGGCAAUGUGAAGUUUCAAUAAGCUUAUGAACAUCAUGAGUAUUGUAUCCUCUAGCUUCAUUGGAGCAGAGAAAAAGACAUUACCAUUUUGGGGGCGUUUUUUAGUCUCAGAAAUACGAGGUAGGAGUGGGUCUAUUCUCUUUUUUAAAAAUGUACUCAUGCAAAGCAAGCAUUUUACAUCUGUCUAUUAUUUUGCAUAAUGAUAACAGACUAUUCUGUGCAUCACAUUACUCCACUUUUCAAACUACAUCCAUCAUUGUGCUUGAUGUUUUCUUGUCAUUUCAUAGGAAGCCUUUUGACUUGACUUUUUAAUUUCAUCUAGACUCCAGAGAAGAUCUGUGACUCAGAACAAUGUUACUGAAAGGAGGGCAUUUCAGAAUACUGCUUGCAGCAGCAAGUCACAGGAAUGACUGACCUGAUCUGAGAAAUGUAAAUUUUCCUUUUGAGGCUUGAAACUUUGUUGAGCUUUAUACUCUAAGGGACUUGUUUUAUCUUAAAGCCUUGCAUGUUGUGGUGUGACUAGCAAACUUAGUAGAGGUGGAUGUAUUUCUCAAAUAUGUUUCGGCUUUCAGCAUCAGAGUAACAUGAUUUGGUAGUUGCACUUGUUCUCUGUUGAGAAUUUCAUACAGCUAUCAGCUGAUGCACAAAAUAGGAAAUGUAUUUCUGGAUUCAAACUGAGUGAGGAUCCCUAAGCUCCAGAGUUGUGGACCCUGCCAGGAAGAUUCUGAUUCUCAUCCAAGUUUCUGUGUUAUCUAUGCCAUUAAAUCCUGUGAUGGUAAAAAGGGGCCUUUCCUCAGAAAAAGAGCAGUUAAUUGCAUAUCAAACAGAAAUCCUAUGUGGAAGUCACAGGCUCUUCUGCAGCUCUGCUGAACCUUGUUUUCAAUUACCAGAUGAGAGACUAGACUUUGAAAUAGAAAGAAUAGCAAGAAAAUUCAUCAGAAACACUUUUCCCCUUAAAUAUACAAGUAUAUAUAAAGGCAGCAGACUUCAAUGAACUGGCAAAGAAACUUAAACUGAGGAGCAUCGGCCUGUUCCGAGUGUGGAAUUUAAAACUGAAGAGGAGCUGUCUUUGAAAAGAAUAGACUUCCUUAAUGGUAGCUCUUUUAUGAUUCACACCUGCUCAUUUGAAAGUGUAAAAACACCUAGAUGUUGACAGAGAUUGAGAGGGAUUAUGUGCUCUGGGGAGUUGUCCCUCACUUUUUCCUCAUUUGCACCAUUUUUUUAAAGACACUUGUGGCAUGGUAUGCUUAUCUCCAAUGAAAAGCCUGUUCCAUCAGGCCGGCACCCCUGGAGGCAGCCGAAGAUUACCAGGCUGUCUGAAACUUUGGAGUCAGGUUAUUGUCUUAUCUCUGCAUUGUUGUCUGCCGGUUUUAUUCUCCCAAUGGCAAUGAAAGCCACACAAGAAUAUGAGUCAUGAUUUCCGGCAGCUCUGCCACCUACCUGUAAAACGAGAAAGAAGGACUAGCCAGGCUGGUUUUACCAAAACUCCAAUUUCCUAACCAAGUUUUUUAAUGCCUCUCAGCACUUUGGAAACUGCUUUUACUGAUGUAAGUUCCACACCUAGAACUGACCACUUGGGAGUUGCUUACAGUGAUCAAGGUGGAGUCUAAGGCUCAUUACUCAUCUCCAGUUAAGGACCAGCUUAAAGUGUGGUUUAAGGACUGCAAAAAACUCAAUGCAAUUCCUGGGUUCAUGGAACAGCAUACAUAGUAUCCCACUUUUUAGUUUGAUUCAGCUGUAUCUGCAAAUCACUACUAACUAUGAGACAGCAUAUUUCCUGUUCAAAUAACUGGAGACCCAUGAUCUUGAAGGUCUAUUGUAAAAACAUAUUAAAGACCAUUACUUAUUUUACUGCAUUAUUUUAAAUUCUUCUAAAGAAUUACUAAGAAUAAUACAAAGUGAAAAAACUAAGCACAAUUCAAACAUGUAAGCAUGAAUGGAAACAGAAAUUCUCUUUUUAUUUGAAGAAUACACUGUGUCACUGUGUCUUCUCAAAAGUCAUAGCUCUUCCUAAAUAUAGAGAUUACUUUUAUUUUUAAAUCUAUAAAUAGAUGCCUGUGUAAGUCAUCAAUUAACCAAGAUCACUAAGGAAUUUAGGAGCUGUCCCUUGCCCAGAGAUGUGAAACGCCUGCUUUAUUUGUUCCAAGUGAAAGCUUAAACUCUACAAAGUCAAAGGUAACAUUUUAGUGAGUGGCUAAAUGUGACUGCAGGACCAAAAAAAGAGUUGUUUCAAAUUACGCAAAAGGACUUGAGCAACUGGACUCUAUCAGUCUCUCUGGGAUGGUGAAAGGCUCAUUUAAUAUAGAAUGAAUGGGAAGUAUCUCCUAUGACAUGGAUCUUUUACAAGUUUAGCUGAAUAUAACAGUGCUGCAGUUCCUGCAAGUGCAAUGCAUACAUUUCUGAUGUCAUAUUUCUAAUUUUAAAGAACAGCAUAAUACCAUAUCUGAAAGGUACAUAUUAAAUAAGUUGACAAUGAUAAAUGAUGAAAAGCAGCCAUCAAUCAUCAAUAACAAUGUCUUGGGGAUCCUGGAAGUAUGGAGGAUCCAACAUACCCCGUGAUGACCCAGAUAUAUCUGUAAAACUGUGCUAGUAAACAGCUCCCAAGAAACAAACUAGUAAUUAGUGGGGAUAAGUAGUCAUGCAGAGUGGUCUGCAUAAGCUGGAAAACGAAGCAAAUUUGAACAAAAUGUAUUUUUGUAGAACAAAAGGUAGGCUGUCUUCUUCCAAAGGAUAGACUGUAUUCUGGAAAAUACCAAUUCUGGAAAAAUCCUAGCUAUCAUGUCCCAGCCAAGAACCAGUUUAGUGUGAGGAAUUUAGGAGCUGUGAUAAUACAGCAAAAAGGGUGAAUGCAGUCUUUGAGUAUCCAUGCAGAAGAACAGCAAGCAGCACUAUAGAGAAACAUAUUCCAAUGUUACAUACAGAGAUAAAUUAUGCCCAGUGCUAUGGGCAUAAGCAGCCAUCUUUUCAAAAAAAUAUCUGUUGGCAAACCAACUGCCAGUCUUCCAGCCAGAAAACACCUUUACAGGGGUGUCAUAUUUUCUGGAAAAAUCUCCUUGCCCAGGAUUUUGCUCCUGGGAAGCUGAGAAGCCUCACAGAAGAAGGAAAACAAUAUUAUCUCAUUUGCUUCUCCUGUGUUUUACUGCUUUGGAAUGUGU